CUUCUUCUAUACGUGUGCUUCUCCCUCCAUUCUCCUCCCUACCACCAUCAUCGCCCAGCCCACUGUCGUUCUCGCCAUCGUCUUGCCCCACCGCCGUCCUCACAACCACCAUGGUCAUCAACAACGACCACCACCAACCCCUCUUCUUCGUGUGGCCUCUCUCUCUCCAUUAUUCCACCGGUGGCCUGACCUCCGUCCUCGCAACCAUCGCAGUCUUCAACAGUGACCGUCGUCGUCCUCACAACCAUCAACCGGCUCGGAUCUAGAUCUCAUACCUCCGGCGGCCGGCGACAACCUCUUCUCUCCCUCACGCCAUUUGAGAUUCGCCAAGUUGCCCGCCGUUAGAGUUAUGUUCAGGUUAUCGUCGGAAAUUGACAAAGAAGAGGGAUAGGAGAGAGAUGCAUAGAGAAGAAAAGACAGAGAGAGUGAGAAUUGCAAAGAAGUGGAGAGGAAGAGGGAAAGAAAAAAAGAAUUAAAAAAAAGGGAAAUACGGAUAAUGUUACGGUGUCGAAAUUGUGUUUGUAAAACUGUGUUCAUGUAUCAAUCCUCAUUAAAAUUAGAAUAUGAAACUAAUCAUAAUUAUAUGUUUUACAUGCAGGAACUUCCCCAAAAGCAUCAUU
rnacentral:lncRNA from 1 species